ensembl:lncRNA
UGUGGGAAAAUAGACAGCUGGUUAGGCUAGAGUCAAACCUUUUCUGCUACAGUAUAAUUUCCUUUCUAGAAAUACAUUUAGCUCCAACUACAGUAGGAAGGUGUGUACUAUGGGUCACUUAAUUUUAUUUGGUUAUCUGUACUCUUCAUACUCAAGAACUGGAAGCCUCACUGUAACAACUAUACUUUCUAAAUGACAUCCUGUAUUUUGUAUUUUUACAAUUAAUCUCUGAACUACAUAGAUUUUAAUCAUUGAGCUAGUUGGGAAGUAGGUCUGGGGCCCAAGUCCACUGUUUUGGGGGAAUCCCACCCAACAGCAGUGAUUUUAUUUUAUUUUACUUUUUGGUACCAAGGAUCAAACUUAGAACCUGGCACUUUCAAGGCAGUCAAGGCGCCACUGAGCUACAUCCCCGGCCCUCAACAGCAUUGAUUUUAGAGUGCUUGGCUAGCAUGCCUGAGGGCCUGGCGAUCAUCCGCAUCCUAAAAAACAGAGCAAGUAACUUGUGUUUCUGGUCACUUGAAAAGUAUUCUAGUAUUAUAGACCACUAAGAUAGGUAAAAAUAUUAUAGGUAGUCAGACAGAGAUAAGCCCUCAAGGGAAUCAGUGCAGAAGAUGAGAACACACAACUGUAACACACUCCAACUAUGGCUGGAGGUGCAUCUGUUGAAGACCAGGUCUCAAGAUAAAGAUGGAAUGACUGGUCCUACAUGCUUCCCCAGGGGAUAAGAAAUAAAGAUUAUAAGUGAUACCACCUGGUCCAAUAAAGUCUGGGUAGACAUCAGUGGGUGACCAGAAUCUCCUGAUUCAUAUACCUUCCUAUUUACUUUGAGGCAGGGUUCCCCCCUUUUUUUUUCUUUUUUCUUUUUUCUUUUUUUCUUGGUACCAGGGAUCGAACUUAGGACUUUGUGCUUGGCGGGCAGGCAUGACACUGGUGAGCUACAUCCCUGGCUCAGAGUUCCAGUCUGUAGUUCAGGCUGGCCCUGAAUUCCCUGUAAUCCUUCCUCAGUCUCCUGAGUACUAAGGUUAUAGGAUUGUGCCACCAUACCCUGGCUGAUCCAUACCUUUCUAUAAACGUCUUUGUUCUUUCUGUGUAUGCUUGUUAACAUGACCUGCUUUCCCAUUGGAUCACUUUUUUAAAAAUUAAUUUUAUUGGUACAUUUUAGGCAUACAGUAUAAUGGCAUUCAUCAUUGGAAAUUUGUACCUUUACAUAAUAUAUCUUGGUAGUUCUGCUUACUCUUUUUUUUUUUUCUGGUACAGGGAAUCGAACUUGGGACCUUGAGCUUGCAAGAUGAGGAAACUAAGGAACUGAAAGAUUAGAUGAUUAAGCGAAGACAGCAGGUCAAAUUGCUGAAUUUGGGAUUCACACUUAAUGUGGUUAGUUUCUCCCCUCUUAAAACAUUUGCCUUUUUGCUAGCUAAAAUACCAAUGUUGGUGAAAGGUGAAAUCACAUUAAAAUGAAGAUAGGGUUAUGUGGUUUUUGCAGUCUUUCAUAAUCUGUAAGUCUGCCUCAAAUUCCUUGUUAGUAUUAAGCAUGCAUUCUUUCUUUUUUUUGUCUUAUGCUUUAUGAGCAGCAGGGAAGAGUGGAAGGAGCAUGGAGUUUGGAGUCAUGUCUGGAUUCAUAUUCAAGCUCUUGAAUAAUGACAGAAAUAAUUUCAGUGUCUCUUUCUGUAAAACAAUGCCCUCAGAUCUGAGGAUGGAAUAAAAUAAUGUGAAAUCUUGUCUUUUCUGUCACAGAAUCCCCCUUUUCCCUUGUAUUUUUAAAUCUGUAUGCAUCAGAGGGUCCAGAGUCUUUUAUCAAAUUCUGAAAGACAUCCAAGACUCAAAGUAUUAGGAACCUUUGACUUUUCCUUAACUUUCAGAGCCAGUCUCAUAAGGAAGAUAAAAUUAGGAGAAACAGACCGGCAUACUCAGUUUUAUGUUCUGGGUGUAUGUGUACAGAUAGAAUUUGAUUGAAUUCAAAAGAAAAGGCAUUUUGGGCAUAGUUACUGGUUAAUUAUCACUUCUAACCAAGUGUUUGGGAAAAGAGGAAGGCUCUAACGGGAUCAGGCCACAGAACAGGCCAAGAAUAUUAUUUUCUUAUGCAAUUGCAGGUAUUAUUGAAAUGAGUAUUAGGGUACCAUUAGUUGAAAAAAACCUCUAAAUAGAUUAUUCAAAUCACCAUAAUUCAUUAGGCAAUAUGUAAGUCCCAAGUUAAUCAACCUGGGAUAGACAACCUCAUGGCU